UCAGGUCACCAUUUUUUCCACUGUGCAAACAGGCAGUCCAGCUUUGCCUCUGCUUACUGACUUGUGACUGCUUAUCUCGCUCGACUCCAAGUGAGAUCUCAAGCGUGACUGAACCCACCUCUGUGGCAAACAAUGACCGAGUCAGGCUGGUGUGUCCUGCAGUUAGUUACCUAAUGCAAUCUUAUGGACAAUUUUUAUUUGCGGUAUUUAUCAACGCAUUAAAAUCUCUACCUGGACCAGAAGUGGUAAAUAAGACGCUCUAAUUUCUGUGCGCUGAGACUGCGAAAGUUUCAGAUUCUUGCACAGCCUGUACUCAAUGUGACUCCAGACCUCAAAUAAGGUUUUGUCAACACUGCUCCAUGUGGACAUGAGAAAUCUAGUAGCAGCCAAUCUUGGAACAGGCCUAUUCUCUACAGGCAGUAUUGGUGGACAUGCAAGCCAAAGCCUUUGCCUUUUGGAAGUCCACAGAAUUUUGGAUUGAACUGUGCACAAAGAAAGAGGUGGCAGUUGAGAAGAUUCACCCAGGAUGUGUUGCUGUGCCAUUUCUCGAAGCUCUUUACAACGAGAAUGGGAUCCUAUUGAAUACUGGAGUUCUGAAAGACUGUGAAUAUUUAGUAAUCAUCAGCAAAUAUCCCCUAUCUGGCCUUGUGAUGGAAUGAAAAUCAUUGUUGUCGAUUGGGAUGAAAACUUUGCCUUAAGGAACUCCUGCAGUGAUAUAUUGGGUUUGGGCUGAUUGAUCAACAACUACAGUAUAUCCUUCUCCCUCUGUGUAACUUCAACCACCUCUGACGCCCAUUCACUGCAGUUCAUCUUGGUAAAAUGCUGUACUUUCCUGGACAAAGUCUUGCCCUGAUCUGCAUGAUCUGACAAAUCACCAAGAAAUAUAUGUUGGUUUCAAACUCACCUACCACACUCUUGAGCAUCAUUUCAAGUUAGUAUUUUUCUCUAAAUGCAGAAGACUGUUUAUGUGUGUCUUUGGCACAUUCCAAACCACUUGUUCUGCCUACCCAAUAAUGAUAGUCAUUGUUAAUACAGGAAACACAACAGCCAGUGGUACAUGGCAAGGGGAGACUAUCAUUAGACAUUGUAACAUUGAUAAGAUUCAUGGGCAGUAAACACAGUAUCAAUUCAAUUGGAACAAGAGAAUUUCAGGUGCAGUGUAACCAAAACACUUCUCUCCAUCCUCCAGUAAGUCGCAACAGCAUCAACUUCAGAUAUGCAACCAGACUUUUGAUAGGCUAUCAUUUAUCAAUAGGUUGAAGAGGAAACCAAGUGAGUACAGAACUGUUCAAAUGCAAUUUACCCAUUUGCCGAAAGCCAAAAUCAUUUCCUGGCAGUGCAGCUGGCAUGAACCCCAAGUUAUUUUCUAACACAUUCCUUCCUUCCAGUGAUUAGGAAUGGAGGAGGCCACUUGGCCCCUCAACCCUCUGCUGCCACUCAGUAUGAUCACCACAGUUCUAUCCCAGAGCCCUCUAACAUGCCAGUUCCUCAUUACCUUCAUUCCUCAAACUUUCAAAAGUUUACCUUCCUUAAAUAUGCACCCGAUUAACCAACCUCCAUAGCUCUGCAGUAGAAACAUCCAAAGAUUCAUGGGAUGAAGUUCCGACACAUGUCACAUUCGAGUGACCACCCCUUCACUGAAGUUACAUGCCCUUGUCUGAUUCUCCCAUGAAACAUCACAACAUCUAUCUUGUCAGGGCUCUAAGGACUCAGAUUUUGUUUUAAUUGUAAUCUAUAGAAAUGGGAAUUGCCUUCAUCAGUAUGAGUUCAGCCACUCAGUAGAUAAAUCCUUUCAGUUCUGAUCAGAAGGUCAUUGGCACAAAGUAUUAACUCUCUCACAGAUGCUGCCUAACCUGAGUAUCCCUGAUGUUCUGUGUUUGAAUUCACUUAUCUGCUAGGCUAAGUACUUAAUUGAAAGAGUAAUUUAUCUUAAGAAGAUAUUUCUUUGGUCAGAGUAGUAUAGCAUAGACACAGGCCCUUCAGCCCAAAUGGUCCAUGCUAACCCUACCAUUCUCCUGCUGGUCCAAGAUGCCUGCAUUUAGCCCAUAACCCACCAAGUCCCUCCUUUCCAUUAAAUGUUGCAAUAGUAUCUGCCUCAACCAUUUCCUCUGGUAGCAUAUUCUAAAUGGUUGCUACCCUCUGCAUAGUUACUCUUUAGGCCUCUUAAAUUCCUCCCCUCUUAUCUUCUUUAUGUAGCCUCUAGUUUUAACUCCCAACCCUGCAGCGUAUUCCUCGUAACACGGAGGGAAAAAAAAAUCACUGACAAUUACAUCAGGCAAUACCAUCUUCAACUGCAUGAGAAUUUGGAACAAUCUUAAAAAUCCAGGAUUAAGGCAAUUUAAAUUCCACUGAUGUACCUAUGAAAUACCUUACAGCAUUUCUCCUGUGGCCACUGAUGGAUAGGAAGUAGUUCCAUAUCAUGGUAUGGAUAAAUCCAGCCAGGAAAUGAUCAAACUCUACUGAUAUAAUGUCUUUAAUAUAGGAAGAUGUCCUAGGUAUCUCAGAGAAUACAGGGAGGAAGUACUGAUCCUUCAUGAAGGCACGAUGGGAAGAGUUAUCAAAAGCUUCAUCCAAAGCGAAAGAGAGAAUCCUAAGCAGGAAGGACAAAGGUACUGUACACUUUCACCAAAGAUGAAAGGGAGACAGGAGGAUAAGGUAGACUGUGUGUUGGGCCAAGUUUCGAAGUUGCUGGAGAAGGAUCAAGCCUGGAGAAUCAUGAAAAGGGUGGUGGCUUGGAACCAUGGAGAAAUAUUUUGGUUUCAAGCAACUACAAUAUGAUCUAUUGUGGGAACAGACAGUCAACAAGAAUGAGAAUGUGCAGGCCUUGUCUAGAGUGAGACUUCAGAAAAUCUAAACAGAAGAGACCACAAAUGCUGGAACCUGGCAGAACGUACAAAGCUGGAAGAGCUCAGACACUGUCUAUGAAUGUAAGUGGAUGGUCAACGUUUGGGGUGUGACCUUUCAUCCGGACUAUAGACAAUGUUGGAUAAGUUGUAAAAAAAGUCAAGUCAGGAGGGUAAGGAAAGGGAUUCCAAUAGAUGGCAGCACAAGUUGGUGUGAAGAUGAGUACUGUUAUACAAUGAUCUUUCUAAGGUGUGCGUAAGCACACAUCUUUUGCUACUAGCGCACGAAGGAAUUUAAACUGCGCACAAAAGGUUGUUACCCUCUACCUCGUUGGUAUGUUAAGUAUGUUUCACAAUCGUACACAAUCAUAUUUCUUUUUCUGGUUUCUGAUGUGGAUGGUGUUAAUGACUUGGUGCAAUUAUUUGUCUGCAGGUUUUAGAACUGGCUUAUUUAUACCCUCAUUGAAGAAAUUAUUGAUUCACUAUGUCGAAUUCCAAAGUGCAAAAGAACUGCUCUAGUUCAUUUAAAGCAGAAUGGCUUGCUAGCGGUUAAAAUGAAUGCCUCUCUAUAUAAAAUUUAGUGCACACGUUUUGUCACCAGACAAAAUUUGCAUAGCACAAGAUUUUUGCGCAAACUGGUCAUUGUGAAUUAGAGGGAACAUUGUUGUUAUAGAUGAGAUUUGGUAGUGAAAGACUUUUUGAAAGCUAAGAAAACUAUUGGUAAAACAUCGGAUCCUAAAAUUCAUAAAGAGAGUAGAAAAGUCAUUCUGAACUUAGUCGGUUCACAGCUGAUUUUGGUUGCUUCAUUGUAGAAUGGAUGUGAAGAUCCUAGAUACAAUCUAACAAUUACAGUGAUGAUGAAUUUCAGUUUUAGGAUUAUGUUGGAGCCCCAAGUUCAGAGAUUUUAUGAAGGCAUACAAGACUGACUGGUUUCAUGGAUUAAUAGAGGGAACAAGAAGUGGUGGAUUUGGGUUCAAUUGCAACAAUAACGAAGUCUGGGGAAGGACAGGGGAGGUGUAUGAAGGGCUAUGGUCCAGGUGUGGGUCAACAGGACCAGGCAGAAUAACAGUUUGUCACUGACUAGAUGGACUAAAGAGCCUGUUUCUGUGCGGUAGUACUUGAUGACAGCGCAAAAGGCACUGAAGAAACAUGGCAGGUCAGGCAGCAUCCAUGGAGGAAAAUGGAGAGUCAAUAUUUUGGGUCAAGACCCUGCGGAAAUAGGUCACAGAUUAAAUCCUGGGUGAAAAAUACAAGGCGGUUGUGAAGGAAGACCCUCACACACAGCAUACUUGAGAUGCGUAUCUCCAUCCAGGGAUCUAGUGGAAAGGGCUAGCACAGGCUCCAAGGACUGAAUGGCCUCUUUUGUAGUAACAAUUAUAAUAGAGCAGGAAGCUCAAGUUAUAUCUUACGGGAGUGUCUGUAUACAGACUUUUUUAUCAGCAGGGUUAGGGUAGUGAUGGAAGGUUGGAGUGCUUGUACAAGAAUUUGAAUUCUUGGAGGGAGACGCUCUAGUUUUCUGAUAUUUUUCGAUAACACUCCAUCAUCUAUCUCCAAGUCACCAUGGUGAGCUGAUAGACAGUGAUACUUGGCCUAGAGGCAGCACAUAAAUGAGGGGCUGGGAUGAAGGAGAAAGACCACCAGUCAUAACAAAAAAGCCAGAAGAGAAAGGGGAGAUGAGACCUCAGUGUUGUGGGUGACUUUGCCUGGGCUAUGUCUGUGCUGCAGGCAGGGCAGAUAUGAAAUUGGGUUCAAAUUUUGCUUGAUGGUUGCAUCUGGGAAGAAGAUAUCACCAGAGACCUUGGGUGAGAAGUUUGGUGUUAUCUGGGGGAGGGACAGAUGGGUGAGGGUGGAAUGUUUUUGAGGAGAUGGAGACAAUGGUAGAAGUGGAGGUAGAGACAUGAAGGGGGGAAAUAGGAAAACGAAUUACUAGCAUCUGCAGCAAAUGUAUGAAUGGACUA